UAACUCUAGCAAUCAAGUUCUUUACAUUCCUUUACUUUAGGCUAUCUUUAGCUUUCUCAUUCUUUAACUUUACACGUUCUUUAUGCCCCACUUUACAUUAGCUUUAAUCAUUAAUAUCAUUCUUUACCUCGCAUUAGUUCUUUGCCUCACACUAACUCUAGUGUCACUUUACUUUACAUUUUCAAAUGCCACUCGAUCUAUGUCAUUGUGCCACUCGGUUCUUUUGGCUCACUUUGGUACUCACAUUUUCUCUCAUGCAUACAUAUAGGGUUUUAACAUUCAUAAGGUUCUCAACCAUCACAUUAAGCAAGUUGUACUCACAAUCAUGCAACAUCACAUUUUUAUCAUUACUUUACCCUAAAAUGCAUGCAACAAUGUAUAUACAUAUGCUCAAAUGAAUGACACAUUAGGCAUAGAGGGAAGUUCAACGAGUUUGAGAAGCACCACCCACCUCGUAGGCUUUCAAGGGUGCUCCGAUGAUUUUCUUGGGAUUUUUAGACUUCUCGUUCUUUACCUGCGGCAAAACGAAGCCAACUUAGGUUAUUUUGCCCAUAACUUUACAUUGGCUUUUCGUAACGUUUUUCCGAGCGCACCAACGCGCCGGAAAUACCCCCAAUUAGGUUUCUACUGGGUCAAUUUCACUUAGAAAUUCCCAUGAGCAAAAGCCCCAAUUUGGGUGCCCUAGCUCCAUAGCAUCAUCAAACCUAGGGUUUGAUCUCAUUGGGAAGCAAAAGUAGCUUCAUUAUACUCUAAAAAGUCCAUUAGAACCAUUCUUAGC
rnacentral:lncRNA from 1 species